rnacentral:rRNA from 1 species
GACGAACCGAGCGAACGUUGUUCGGAAUCACUGGGCUUAAAGGGCGCGUAGGCGGGUUCGCAAGUCUGUGGUGAAAUCCUCCGGCUCAACCGGAGAACUGCCUCGGAUAUUGCGGGUCUCGAGGGUGAUAGGGGUAUGCGGAACUAUCGGUGGAGCGGUGAAAUGCGUUGAUAUCGAUAGGAACUCCGGUGGCGAAGGCGGCAUACUGGAUCACUUCUGACGCUGAGGCGCGAAAGCCAGGGGAGCAAACGGG